CAUUUAAAGAGUGCCCCUGUGGCCUGUGUCCCCGGGAAGAUGCCACAUGACCUGCUGUCUCUCUGACGUACAGGAGAACAUGCAGAGCCUAGUGGACGUGGGUGACCCAGGCAUGCCUUACAGAGCGAGUCUCCAAUUUUAGAGCUCUUGCCAAGGUCAUGAACUUCUGACAAGGGUUCAGCUUUUUUCUUCCGUCAUUUCUGGCUCCGUCAGCUGGAAGGAGAUUGCCUUUCAAUCACCCUUCUCUUUUGGGACCGCUAAUCACUGCUCUUUUCAGCUCACAGGCCCACGGGAGGAUAAAGUGGACGACGAGCCCUCUUGAUGUUUCCCACUUUGAUCCUCCUGCGAGUGGCUCUAUUUUAGGCGACUUGCCGUCUCUAAUUCGGGAAGCACACAACGAGGGGACACGCACCGUGUCUGAGUCACACCGUGUAAGGCAUGUGGCGUGGGCACCCACACGGUCAGCAGAGUUCCGUCUGGGCUCGCGGCACCUGAGACCUCGGAGGAGCCACCUGAGCUGGGCUGGGAGGAAGAGCGUCUCUCGUUCGUUUGAAACACAGUUCACAUACGCGAAGGGUGCCUGGAGGACAAACAUACGGCUGAAGAAAUGACAAGACACCCCACUCAGGCCAGCCAGCCCUCCUCCCCUUCCAGAGGACACAGACGCCCUGAGCGCUGUUUCCUCAUAGUUUUACCCCCGCAGCGUGUCCUGAGCAAGAAGUGUGCUUCCCCUGUUUUUGAAGUUCACGUAAACAGAAGCCAUCUUCGCCCUCUGUUUUGCGUCUCUCUUCUCUCGCUCGUCCUUACCUUCGCGAAGAGUCUCCGUGUCGCUGCGUGUGGUUGCAGCUCCCUGAUCUCUCGUUGGAGAUGCCCUGCUGCCUGCUUUGCCUCAGUGUGCGUGUUCCUUCCACCACGACAGACGGGUCAUUUCCAGCGCGAGGCGACUUCCUGGGCGUGUCUCUGAGCGCUCAGGUGCUACAUUCUAUACGGCGGCUGAGGUCUGCAAUCCUGAGCCCCGGGGCGUGAAGACCUGAAGCCUUCCCAGAUGGGUGCUCUCCAAACUGGUCACGCCGGUUUACUCUCUUGCCAGCCCGUUGCUCUGCAUUCUUGCCGACCUUGAGUAGCAAGCAGGAUUUUCACAGCUGUGAGCUAUUUCGAAUUAUAACAAGGAAUAUGGAUCUUUUGGAUACUUUUAAUUUUUUAUUUGCUAACUUUUGUGAAGUUAGUAACAAAUAGGAUCUCUCUUGUCCGACCUCCCAUCACCCGCCCACCAGCCUAACCUGCUCUCAGCCCCGUCCCAUGUGCAGAGCAUGCAGCCCACACCCCUGGGCUGCACAGCCAUGGCCGUGGCCAGGGCGGAAUCCUCCAGCAGGUCGGUGUGGCUCAGCUCCACCAGUGAAGUGACAAGCUCUCCAAGAGCCACCUGUACUGGUUCCCUAACCUGGCCGCACUGCUCUGUGCACGUGGCAUCGUUUACUCUAGGAGUGAACACCGUCACCGAAAUCUGAUGCUUCGUACAAUCACGCCGUGUCACAUCGAGCGCGCAGCGUGUUUGCGUCCUGGGUGGGGUGUAAAUGAUAGUGCCCCUUGCAGUCAGUGUUACCUGAGGUUCAUGAGGUAUGAUAAUCAAUUACUACCAACAGAUGAGCCUUGAGUGUGGAGAAAAGAAAGCCAAUAUCUACGGAAGGUAAAUUGAAUACUUUGGAAACAGUCAACCUAUACGAACACGAAUGAGAACUGCUACUGAAAAGCACUGGGUGAGAUACUUGCGAACAUUUGGGGAGGAGAGUUACAGUUUUUCAGAGGGAGUCUGCCCUUGGGAUGCUUUGCAAAGUUACUUUAAAUUCUCCCCUAUUCUUCUACCUUGAGAAUUCACACCUGGAAAUCGUGGGGUGCUGGAAACCACUGGUGACCGCUCACACCAGCUUCCCCCUCUCUUCUUCCCAGGACGCUGCUUUUGUUCAGGUGUUCUCCCCUCACCUCUACACCCACGUGUUUCGGGACAGACUUCAUCUCAGCCCAGGAAGGGGUGCGCAGCCCACCGCACUGAGCCCUACUCCCUGGGGCAGGCGGCAUCUAACCGGCACCUGACAUUCUCUUACAGCGCUGUUGGUCUGGGGUGAGCCUGUGACCUGAACUGGCCAAUUAAACCAAGGGAGAGACGCGCUUCGCAUCGGGCUGACCUUGUAGAUUGCCGGGGAGAGCGGGAAGGAGCUGGCAUUAACUGGCCUUAACCCUUGGAGCCCUCGAUACGGGAGUAAGGAAGUUGUUAUGACUUAUGUCAGUCUGAAUGGCUUGCAACUGCAAAGAGCCUGCUACAGCCCAGUAUGCGGGGCUAUGGUUUAGCCAAAGAAGAAAAUGGACCCACAUUCAAAGAAGCCUACCUAAAACAUUUGGCGAAUAAAUACAUGUGUUUUAUGUUCAAACAGAGCGUUUGGGGAGUUGAUCUCGUUUUUUUCAUAGUU